UGAACAGAAACUAACUAGCUGACAGUUUGCAGAUCUGCAUGCCCAAAAGAAAAGCCCACAUUUCUUGAGACUGUCAGCAUAGUUG